rnacentral:rRNA from 1 species
GUAUAGAGGGUGAAUUCUGCCCAAUGGUUGUAUAGUGAAACUGAGGACUAACGUCUAAAGCGAAACCCAACUGAAUGGCCGCGGUAACUCUGACCGUGAUAAUGUAGCACAAUAAAUAGCCAAUUAAUUGUUGGCGGGUAUGAAUGGAACCACGAGGGUCUUACUGUCUCAAGAGGAAAGCCGAUGAAAUUAUAAUUGUAGUGAAGAUACUACAUAAACAUUGUAAGACGAAAAGACCCUAUCGAGCUUUACUGGAUACCGAUAGCGUUAAUUUAGAAUGAUCGAUACUAAGUAUCCUAAUUAUAAGUUAAUAAUUUUUGUUGGUAGGACAGUUUAGUUGGGGCGACUACCUUUGAAUAAGAAACGAAGGCGAGCUUAUGGUAUUAAUAAAAUCUCAUUAGCCUCACAGUGAGGGGGACACCCCUAGCUGGCACAAGGACCCCACGGGGUUCCUAUGUGGGCGAUAGUGACCCGAUAUUAUUAUCCAAAAUAAAUAUCGAAAGCGGAUAAAAGCUACCGUAGGGAUAACAGCGUAAUAUUGUCGGAGAGUUCUUAUCGAGGACAGUGUUUGCGACCUCGAUGUUGAAUUGCGGUGUCCUGGUGCUGUAGAAGGUACCUUAGGUUGGUC